ACAACCUUAAUCCUGAUGAGUCUGUGUGUUGAUAUGAACAUGUGAGAGCAGCACAGCAGCCCUGAGUUCACUUUGUUUCUCGACCUCUAGCUGUGAGAAUGUGCAAACAGACAAAGCAGACCCUUCGAUCGACUGCCCUAAGGCAAAGGAAAGAUGUGGUGUCCUGAGAAAAGACCCUUUCACCAGCUGCCACGCGAUCAUAGCGCCAGACAGUUACAUAAAAGUCUGUGAAGAAACUUUGUGUUCAUAUCCUUCGGUUGACAAUCUGCCCUGUCAUUACCUAGAGGCCUAUGCCAGAGCUUGCAGCCUGAGGGGCGGCCCUGAACUGAGUGGCUGGAGGCAAAAGUCCAACUGCCCCACCACCCAUGAGGCCUUCUGUCAGGACAAGUUCUGUGCUUCUCAUGAGUUCUGUGGUGAGACGGUGGCUAGUGAUGGCUUGGGUUGCUUAUGUCAGCCUGGUUUCGCAGCCUUGUUUAGACAAAGAAAAUCUUUAGGUAAGACAGCAGUGAAGGU